AGUGUCUUGGAGCCCGCGCACGCGGCUUUGGGCGGGGCUGCGUGGUGACGUUACGCGUGCGCGGCUCGCUGCUGUGACCGUAACUUUAAGCACACGUGAGCGUCCUCAGCUGGCAGCCAUGGCUGGCGGGUCCUUCCUAGCAUGUGCUGCGGCCCUCACCUUAUCUUCCGUCAUCAGGGCACAGGCGCCGUGCAGGGCUAUUCCGAGUCCAGGUAGAGAUGGCUGAGCUCGGUGGCAGGAGAUCAGCCUGCGGUGGAGCAGGGACGUUUGCCCUGGGGAGACACGUGCCACCGGGUGGACAUCGAGGCCCUGUGGGUGGCCCUACAGCGUGGAAGGGAUGACCGAGCUUUGGGACAUGUCCUGGAAACCUAAGGUGCUGGAGCUAGAAGAGACUUGAUAGCACUUCAGAGACCAUCAGGCUGUUUCGUGGAACUUCCACCAAAGAGAUGCAGAAAUGGAGACUCCAGAGCUGGAGAGAGAGAGAUGACUCAACUGUUAAAAGCACUGACUGCUCUUCCAGAGGUCCUGAGUUCAAUUCCCAGCAACCACAUGGUGGCUCACAAUUAUCUGUAAUGGGGAUCCGAUGCCCUCCUCUGGUGUGUCUGAAGACAGUGAUGGUGUACUGACAUAUAUGAAGUAAAUAAGUAAAUUAAUAAAUAGAAAUGAGACUCCAGCUGUGUUGAUCGGGUUUGAAGUCCUCUUGUUGGAUUCUAGAAGAAUCCCAAGUUUCUGGUUCUUGGCCUGAGCUUGAUUCUAUGUUUGUCCUCCUCCCAGACUCCUUCAGCUCUUGAAUAAGGAGCCCAGCUGGCCUAUUGUCUGACAUUUGAAUAGAAUAAACCAUGGGUAUUGUAGCAGGCUAGAGAAAAGCACACCUGCUAAUCAGAAUACAUCAGAGGCAAGAAGAUCAGGCUGGCCUGGGUUACAAAGGACCCUGCUUCAAAAAGAAAGUAGAUGUGAUUUUAUCCAUGA
rnacentral:lncRNA from 1 species